rnacentral:rRNA from 1 species
AUGCACGCGUCCACUGCGGUAUGUCCGGAGUCGUCGGCGUGCACUUCUCCCCUAGUAGGACGUCGUGACCCGUUGGGUGUUGGUUUACGGUCUGGGUGGUUGCCUGUUCCGUCGCAUUCUAUGUGUACGGAGCAGACCCCCGUGUACCCGACCAACUGCCCGGCGGUACUCGCACGGUAUCGGGCCGCACUUAUGUGCGUCGGGCCCGUCGCAAGCGAGAUCAGUGUUACCCGGAGGUGCGGACCUAGUGCCGUCCCCGGGCCUGGUCAGCUGUUGGUCGGCGGUGUUCUCGGACAGGCUCAUCCAAAAUGAUACCGGUCGGCGACGCUACUGCUUUGGGUACUUUCAGGACCCGUCUUGAAACACGGACCAAGGAGUCUAACAUGUGCGCGAGUCAUUGGGACCGCAAAACCUAAAGGCGUAAUGAAAGUGAAGGUCGACCUUGCGUCGACUAAGGGAGGAUGGGUUGCGUCACGAUGCAGCCCCGCACUCCCGGGGCGUCUCGUACUCAUUACGAGUAGAGGCGCACCCAGAGCGUACACGUUGGGACCCGAAAGAUGGUGAACUAUGCCUGGUCAGGACGAAGUCAGGGGAAACCCUGAUGGAGGUCCGUAGCGAUUCUGACGUGCAAAUCGAUCGUCGGAACUGGGUAUAGGGGCGAAAGACUAAUCGA